AUGGAUGGCCAAACAAACUUUCUGGUGGCCGUUAAGAAGAAGAAAAUUCUUUGCAGAAGCACGUGCCAGUGUUUUGCAAUGCACGGCACACAUCGAGGCUUGCGGCGCACACUGGGACACAAUCGGAUUCUGGAGCUCCAGGGACAAAGAGUGCGGCUAAUUUGUGCAGCCGCUGCUUUAGAAUGGCGUAAGAAGGAACCACUUCACAGCUUUGGAACUGGAGGUAGAAAUAACACUCUGCUAAAGACCGACCUUGGUUGCUGUGUUUAUAGAGAGCAGUCUCUGACCCGAGGAACGUUCAGGUGCUUGUGCUAACGAGCUGUGUUAUAAUGGAGUUCUCUUGGUCUUAGAACCCUGCAUUUUGCUGACAGAAUUCCCUCAGCUCUAUCAUGAAACACAUUUUGGUGCCAGAGAGAUUGAAAUCUGUGGAAACAAAAUUAUUUCGUCAGUUGGUGAUGCAUUUGGGCAUUUUCCAUUCUUGCUAACAAAAAAAAGAGUCUUUGCUCACGUGACCGCGAAAGCCUGGUGAAAUACGCCACGAACAUCCUGAAAUGAGUCCUGGCCCCAAAGCACUGAUGGCGAAGUCUUAUAUUUUGACAUGAAGCACAACACGUAGUAAAGAGCUAGCCAGCACUGUAAUGCUGCCUGAGUUGGUCUUUGGCCUUCUCUAGCUUGACUUUUCUGGGGAUUGACUACCCCUGGAUGCCUGGAGCUUUUCAAGAGGCGAUUGUUUCCUUGUGGCAUGUCUAUGCUGACAAUUCCUGGAGACUCCACCUCCUCUUUGAGUUCCCCUGGGCAGGCUCUAUUCCCUAAGAGCCCCACUCUAACCUUAUUGUUUCAUGGAAAACCAGUCUUUCAACACAAAGGGUUGUGGGUCAACAAUGGCUUUCCCUUGGAGCUAUUUUUAUUUUCCUGAGAUUCCUGGUAAAAUUACCAGUGCCUUCAUCUAAGUAAAUAAAUCUGUGGUGUAGGGAAUUUGAGGUAUGUGGCACGACAAGUUGGGUAGAAAAUUUUGCCUGGGAGAGGGGUUCUUUUCAACAGCUCCUCCUCCCCAAACGUAGGAACCGAACAUUUUACAAACCAUUCUAGUUAAGUCUCUUCGUGUCUGUUUCCUCAUCUGUAAAUAAAUAUAGACGAUGACUUAAGAAUUGUUUCCUGCUGUAACAUUUUCUGAUUCCAUGAUGUAAGUGAUUUCCUGGGACCAGUGAGAUAGAGGUCAUCUACUUUAUUUUCCUAGACACAUAUGGCUCACCAAUUGUUAAAAUUUGUAUUGAAUUUUUGUACACCCAGGUUCACAGUAGCGUUGUUCACAAUAGUCAAAAGGGGGAAGCACCCCAGGUGUCUAUUCAUG
rnacentral:lncRNA from 1 species